GCCUGGGUGGCUCGGUUGGUAAAGUGUCUGACUUUGGCUUAGGUCACGAUCUCAAGGUUUGUGGGUUCGAGCCCUACAUCAGGCU
rnacentral:tRNA from 1 species